rnacentral:rRNA from 1 species
CUGGUUGAUCCUGCCGGCGAUCACCGCUAUUGGAAUCCGCUUAAGACAUGCGAGUCGAGAGGGUUUAGACCCUCGGCAUACUGCUCAGUAACACACGGAUAAUCUACCCUAAGGUGGGGCAUAACCUCGGGAAACUGAGGAUAAUACCCCAUAGAUCAUGGAUGCUGGAAUGCUCCAUGGUCCAAAGUUCCGGCGCCUUAGGAUGAGUCUGCGGCCUAUCAGGUUGUAGUGGGUGUAACGGACCCACUAGCCUACGACGGGUACGGGCGUUGGGAGACGUCGCCCGGAGUUGGAUUCUGAGACACGAAUCCAGGCCCUACGGGGCGCAGCAGUCGCGAAAACUUGUCAAUGAGGGAAACCUCGAACAGGGGAGUCCAAGUGCAUGCGUUUUACGUAUGCUGUUCAGUUGUCUAAAAAACAGCCGAAGUAAGGGCUGGGUAAGACAGGUGCCAGCCGCCGCGGUAAUACCUGCAGCCCAAGUGGUGACCAUUAUUAUUGAGCCUAAAGCGUCCGUAGCCGGUUUGGUAAAUCCUCGGGUAAAUCGAGCAGCUUAACUGUUCGAACACCGAGGAGACUGCCAGACUUGGGACCGGGAGAGGUCAGAGGUACUCCAGGGGUAGGGGCUAAAUCCUGUAAUCCUUGGAGGACCACCAGUGGCGAAGGCGUCUGACUAGAACGGAUCCGACGGUAAGGGACGAAACCCUGGGGCGCAAACCGGAUUAGAUACCCGGGUAGUCCAGGGCGUAAACGCUGCAGGCUUGGUGUUGGGGACCCUACGGGGGUGCUCAGUGCCGGAGUGAAGAUGUUAAGCCUGCCGCUUGGGGAGUACGUCCGCAAGGAUGAAACUUAAAGGAAUUGGCGGGAGAGCACAGCAACGGGAGGAGCGUGCGGUUCAAUUGGAUUCAACGCCGGG